rnacentral:lncRNA from 1 species
GAAAGCAUGGUUGUAGUCAUGAAAGUGAAACUGUUUGUAGAUAAAGUAAGCCAACCAUUUUGAAGCUGCAAAUGAUAGUAUAGCCGCUGCAACGAGCGUAGUUCUUGCAGCCACAGAUAUGGCAGCUUGCUUGGUUGCAGCAACAAUUCCCACUAAAGCAAAAGCGGCAAACUGCAAUACAACUUCGAGCACUUUCAGACCUUUGUAUCCGGCACUGCAACUGCUGCAGUUUACCACAUGGGACCAGUACCUGAAAGGUGGUGCAAACACCCGUCGAUGAUGAUUCAACAAUAAGAGGAUUUUUAAGUUUUAACACUCUCCAACUUAGUUCUUAACUUCUUAUGGCCAUGACACAACCUGGCAAGGAAAAUGCUUGCAUUUCAACUAAUAAACCCAAAAUUUUCGAAUGUGUGCUGGAAAUUUCUAUCUUUUGCUGGCCUCAAGAUUUGAAGAACAAACUAAGAGAUGCUUGAAGGUGUGUUAUAACAGAUCUGGUUUCUAAAAGUUGCAGGACCACCAAAUUUUAGCAUAUUUUCAAGACCGCUAUGAUCUACUUUGAUGCCAUCAGAAUUUCCCAUAAAAACCGUUCUAAUUUUCUGAAACUAAGUAAUCAAAUUGUUGUUUGAAUCCUGCUUCAUUAAUAUGUGAAAGUUACCUGUCCAGCAACUGUUCUCUAGGAGGAGUGGGGGGAAGAGCCCCACAGAACUUGCCUCUCCAAUCUACCUGACCGCCAGCGUACUUGUUUAACCAUUUUCUGAAACCAACCACAAGGGCAUCUGACUUUGUUGGCACAAAACAUGCUUUUUGCCACUGGGCAGGGCCUGCUUCCAUUAUCUUACGUUCCUGUAUGAAGAACUCAAGACUCAGGUAAGAAUAAGUACGAUAAGAGAUUCACCAAAGACUCUUAUUCCGUGUUCAUGCAUCUGCACACUUUAACUCAAUAGAAUGUUUUUCUUAUUGUUCAGAAGAAAAGCCUCAACCGAAAAAGUAACGUCUAACACAUUCAGCAAGUGAAAAGCAAGAUAAUUUCUAAAUCUACUAUCAAGAGUUAAAAGUCACCUCAACAUGAAGAAGAUAUAAAUCGGAGUCCAGAAUCAGAUUUUGUCCAAUAUGAAACAUCCACCUCGGAACAAUCUUAUCAAUCCAAAUGCCGAAGUUUCUUGGGAAGGUCCAUAUCAACCUGCUAUUACCCGGACUAACUGGGAUACAAAUAAAAAUUAGAAGAAGUCUCCGCUGGGCUGAUGACACCUACACAAAUCACCAUACACAUAAAGAGAUGUACAAAAGGAUAAAAAGAUAAAGGAUUUGAACAGAAACAGAAUGUUCUACCUUUUUGGUUUCAGCUGAUGAUGCGGCCCCAUUACCCUGCUCAAGCGGAUCAAGUGGAGAAGCGUAGAACACACAUGGUGGCAAAAAUUUACUCCGACCCCAUUCCUGCUUUGCGAUGAAACCAUUUAUGUCUAACUUCUCAACCCUCAAAUCCAAUGGUCUACCCCCUUCUCUAUCAGCUUUCUCUGUAAAGAAAUGAACUGUAAAUCACCCUGAACCUCCUAUACAAAGUGAAAUUAACUUCAUGAAAGUGAUGCAUAAACUGGUAUUUGCCUUUGGGUUGUCUCGUUUGCAUUAUUCCAUAAUGCGCAUAUGGAACAUGAGCAGGGUCCAUAAGAUUUUCAAUCAAGACCUCGUACCUGGAAUUGCAACAAAGAUAUUAAACAAAGUUAUUAAGAGGAAAAGCUGAAAAAUGAAAAUUCAAUAUUUCAGAUCGAUACACCUAAAAGUUCUUGAACAUGAAAGACGAAAUAAGACCUGGAUGCAGAUUCACAAGGUUGCUUAUAAAGGAGCAUUAUGCCUCAGUAGAAAAAUAGUUUCAUAUCAGAGCUGGUAGAAAAAAAGUAUCUUUACAUACCCGUAAGGAAUCUCUCUGUUUCCCAUUGGACCACUAUACGAAGGAUCAUCUAGUUCAGGUAUGUAGGGAGGUUUUUUCUCUGCAAGAACAUCUUUGUAUUGAGGAUCGGAAUUUGGCCAAAACCACACAAUGCCAUUCUGCACGGUUGUUGGAUAAGCGGCUACACAUGCUUUCUUAUUCGUGUGAAUCUGCAAGUUGAAAGUGUCAUCCCUAUCAUCUUAUUUAAACUACAAACCAUGCACAGCAUAUAGUUUAUUGCCAUAGAACCACUUCUGCAGGAACAACAAGAAAAGAGUUUCGAUUCAAACUUGGAAUACUAUUACUAUAACUAAUGUUUAAAGUUCAUUAAAAUUGGUCCCUAUAGUUUCAAUUGACAUGAUUUAAUCCCUACAGCUUACGAAGGCCACAGUUCGUGUCUAGGAUUGGAUGAUAACUCACUAGAUUCUAUGAAUGCUGAAAUAAGAAAGGAACCCCAACUUCCAAGUUUUGUCAUAGUCGAGGAAUUAGAUGGAUUAAUCACGAAGGAAAUUAUCCCUUCCCGUUCUAGGCACCAAGAGUGGUGUAACUGUUGCAAUUGAAGGCCAAUGACUUUAAUUGUGUCAUUUUUUCAACAUAAUUAGUAUACAAUCGUCAUAUAAAAAGGAAAAAUUAGACUUUUUGGAGAUGUAAAACGCUAGCAUUACUGCAUGCUUUCACGCACUAAUUCCGUUGAAAAUCUAACAUAAUUAAGCCAUCGUCCUUGAACUGCAACAAUUAGUAAACUACAACAACACAAGGACGUCAAAUCAUAACAACUGAAACUACAGGAAUCAAAGUGGAAAAUUCGCAGAAACUACAGUGACCAAAAUCAUACUUUUUCAUGCAAAUCUAUGGUAUUAUUUGACAUCUCUAGCAGUCUAUCUAAUUAAUUUGUACGAAGGUUUACCAUAAUAACUAGCUGUACGUAUAUCUAUAUCUUACUUGCAUGAAGGUUUUCAGUCAAGGAUUAUUUACCGGAGGGCCAUCAGUUGGUGCUUGAGGGAUGAACUUGCAGUCGCCGGAGCCAUUAAAACACCAACCGUGAUAGACGCACUGCAACCUGCCCCACUGAUCAAUCCUCCCUUCCGACAACGGCGCCAACCUGUGCGGACAAGCAUCAUCGAACACCUUCCAAGCACUCUCGUUCCGGUCCCACCACACCACCACGUCUAUCCCCAAAACCGUCUUUCCAUGCGGGACCCUCUUAUCGAGAUCGCAAACCGGCAUCAACGGAUACCAUUGGGCGUACCAGUCGAAUUUCUCCUCCUGGGUCGGGUUUUCGAGUGAUGGGUCCGGUGGGUUUGCAGGCUCGGUCGAAACAGAGGAUUGUACGGCGGUGAAAGUCUUGAAUGCUGAUGAUGCGGUCCCUUGAAACGGUGAAAAAGAUGAAGUGGGGUGCGGGUUAAAUCCUGAGAUAGUAAAUUUUUUGGGUUGGGAUUUGUCAAAUUUGGUGGGAAAUUGCAGUGAGGGAAGAGAUGAAAUUCUCAGAGCUUCCAUGGCUGGUGCCACGAAUGGAGCUCAACGAGGUAAGAACUUGGAGGCUCAAAAGUGUAAAGCUUUGAACGUGGCAUGCAGUAAAAAGAAACUUGAGGUGCAGAUUUGGGAUGAGAAUUUUGUCGACAGAAGUGGAUAACAUGACAAGUGGUUCAAGGCUUAACUGGUCAUAAUGUUUUAGUUUGCUAUUCAAUGCAUGCCCAACCACAUAAUGUUUUGUUCCUUUUCUGUUUUUCCCUUUUUCUUUUAUUUUUUAGGUGAUGAUUUUAGGAAAAUAACUAACUCUAUGCAACGAACGAUACGGAAUGCAACCAUUUACCAAACUGAGAGAUGAUCCACAUUAUCCAAUAGACAACAUUGACAUUAGCAUGAUACUCUUUGUAUGGCGUACAAACUCAUGCUCAACAGUGUUUAGUUUACAUGCAUUCGGAUCACGUAUGCUUCGUAAUUACAUUACCCCGCGCGGUGUUUAUUGUUGUAUUAAGCUAAACGCACGGUGAGCGAAGAUUAACCAGAUCACCGGAAAGCAUGGUUGUAGUCAUGAAAGUGAAACUGUUUGUAGAUAAAGUAUGCCAACCAUUUUGAAGCUGCAAAUGAUAGUAUAGCUGCUGCAACGAGCGUAGUUCUUGCAGCCACUGAUAUGGCAGCCUGCUUGGUUGCAGCAACAAUUCCCACUACAGCAAAAGCGGCAAACUGCAAUACAACUUCGAGCACUUUCAGACCUUUGUAUCCGGCACUGCAACUGCUGCAGUUUACCACAUGGGACCAGUACCUGAAAAGGUUGUGCAAACACCCGUCGAUGAUGAUUCAACAAUAAGAGGACUUUUAAGUUUUAACACUCUCCAACUUAGUUCUUAUGGCCAUGACACAACCUGGCAAAGCAAAUGCUUGCAUUUCAACUAAUAAACCCAAAUUUUUCGAAUGUGUGCUGGAAAUUUCUAUAUCUUUUGCUGGCCUGAAGACUCGAAGAACAAACUGAGAGAUGCUUGAAGGUGUGUUAUAACAGAUCAGGUUUGUAAAAGUUGCAGGAACACCAAAUUUUAGCAUAUUUUCGAGACCGCUAUGAUCUACUUUGAUGCCAUCAGAAUUUCCCAUAUAAACUGUUCUAAUUUUCUGAAACUAAGUAAUCAAUUUGUUGUUUGAAUCCUGCUUCAUAACUAUGUGAAAGUUACCUGUCCAGCAACUGUUCUCUAGGAGGAGUGGGGGGAAGAGCCCCACUGAACUUGCCUCUCCAAUCUACCUGACCGCCAGCGUACUUGUUUAACCAUUUUCUGAAACCAACCACAAGGGCAUCUGACUUUGUUGGCACAAAA